rnacentral:lncRNA from 1 species
AUCAACGUAAAUAUUGAUGGUUCCGAACUUCGUUUUUUACUCGUCACUGAUUAUGAUAGAGAAAUUAUGUUACUUGUUUUAAGAGAUCUUCAGGGCAAUCUAGAACGAGACCGAGUCUGAGGUAGAUAAUGAAACAUUAGAGUUGUGGGAAUGUUGGUUUUUAGAUGUAGUGGAGUGAAAGCCUGGAAUAAAUAUGAACCAAACAUGUUUUCUAGAGUUGGACAAUUCUAUCACAUUACAUUAUAUAGCACUCGACUCACUAGUGCGAUGCACAUAUAUCUCAUACUUGCCACAUAUUUAUUUACUUUCACGUGGAUCGGAACUCAAGAAACAACUACUACAGAAAAUCUUAUCCAAGCAAAUCAAUGUGUGGUUGGAUGGUUAGAGGACAGUGGUAUCCCAUGUCCAUCAGAGUUUAAGUCUACGACUUGACAAUGGUGCUUGCAUUUUUCCGGAUUUAUUUCAUGUCUUUUGGCGAUAUGCGUUCAGUUUAAGGAGACAUUCUCGUCGACUAUGAAGGCGUCUGUGAUGAUUUCCUCAAUCUGAAGAUGAUGUGUCGGCUCAGUCUUUCAGAGGUGCUCAUAGGGAUAGGAUGUACGUGCGUGGGUUCAUAAGAUGAGUGCAUGCUCGUGUAUGUGAGCGACUUCGAUUGUACUCU